CGCGGUAUUUUGACUGUGCGAAGGUAGCAUAAUCAUUUGUCUUUUAAUUGAAGACUUGUAUGAAUGGUUGAACGAGAAAAUAACUGUCUCUUUAAAAAAUCUUGAAUUUUACUUUUAAGUGAAAAGGCUUAAAUAACUUUAAGGGACGAUAAGACCCUAUAAAUCUUUAUAUUAUUUUUCUUUACUUUCAAAUUAUCUAUUAAAAGAAAACAAAGAAAAAAAUAUUGUAUUGGGGAGAUAAAAAUAUAAUUUUUAACUGUUUUAAAAAUAAAACAAUAAUUUUUGAUUUAUAAAAAAUUGAUCCUUUUUAAAGAUUUUAAGAUUAAGUUACUUUAGGGAUAACAGCGUAAUUUUUUUUGAGAGUUCUUAUCGAAAAAAAAGUUUGCGACCUCGAUGUUGAAUUAAAAUAUCCUUAUAAGUGUAGAAGCUAUAAAGGAAAGUCUGUUCGACUUUUAAAAUUUUACAU
rnacentral:rRNA from 1 species